rnacentral:sRNA from 12 species
AUAACUAGGCACCCGGGACAAAUCUCCGUGCGAGAAAGCUAGCAAUAGCUACUGGACUGUCUGACC